UGCUUGUCUCAAAGAUUAAGCCAUGCAUGUCUAAGCACAUGCCGAUUAAUGGUAAAGCCGCGAAUAGCUCAUUACAACAGCCUCUGCUUAUUAGAUCUUUCUUUCUUACUUGGAUAACUGUGGCAAUUCUAGAGCUAAUACAUGCAACAAAGCUCUAACCGUAAGGAAGGAGUGCUCUUAUUAGAACAAAACCAAUCGAGCUUCGGCUCGUUGGCUGGUGAAUCUGAAUAAUUUUGCCGAUCGAACGGUCUUUGAACCGUCGACGUAUCUUUCAAAUGUCUGCCUUAUCAACUUUCGAUGGUAGUAUAUAGGACUACCAUUGUGAUAACGGGUAACGGAGAAUUAGGGUUCGACUCCGGAGAGGGAGCCUGAGAAACGGCUACCACAUCCRAGGAAGGCAGCAGGCA
rnacentral:rRNA from 1 species